rnacentral:rRNA from 1 species
UACGGAGGGUGCGAGCGUUAAUCGGAAUUACUGGGCGUAAAGCGCACGCAGGCGGUUUGUUAAGCUAGAUGUGAAAGCCCCGGGCUCAACCUGGGAUGGUCAUUUGGAACUGGCAGACUAGAGUCUUGGAGAGGGGAGUGGAAUUCCAGGUGUAGCGGUGAAAUGCGUAGAUAUCUGGAGGAACAUCAGUGGCGAAGGCGACUCCCUGGCCAAAGACUGACGCUCAUGUGCGAAAGUGUGGGUAGCGAACAGG